rnacentral:rRNA from 1 species
UGAUACUCAUGGCGCAGUAGAACCACUCCAAUCCAUUCCGAACUUGGUUGUUAAAUGCUGCAGCGGCGAUAAUACUGAAAAGGAAGCUUUUUGGGAAGGUAGCUCAGUAUCA